AGACCGAAGGCUGAGUGAACCAGUGUGGUAGAGAAGCCCUUUUGGGGAGAGGGGAAGCACCUGUGUUCUGUUGUCAUCACGGCUGGAAACGUCAGGUAAGAUAGCACCAGCAUCCCCUUUAUCCGUUGAGAAGAGGUUUCCUUCCUUAAAAAUUAAACCUGUGGGCUUGUGAAGUUUAGUCCAGAAUUAGCUCAUGGUCCACAAGGUACCUUUCUUUCCCUAGGAAGAAAGGCUUUCAUGGUGGCAGCCCCCAUUGGAGGAUUUGUAGUUGCUACAUCACAAUCCUGGAUUUGCAUAAAGGCAGCAAGCAAAAGUGAAGUCAGGUUGCGCAAGAGUAGUGAGCAUGGCAUGACAGUAAGAAGGGAGAAACACUGAAGGGUAUGGAGGCUGGAGGGGACGGGGAAAACUGGCAGUUUUAAACAAUGGUAAGAGGUUUGAGUAAAGUACUGUGGAAUAUCUGAGAGCUCUCAUGAGGCAGCUGAGGAAUGGAAGAGGGAGUAGUUUGAGUACAGUGAGAAGGGAGAGAGAUGAAGGUUUUUGUACUUUUAAAGUUAUUGUUGAUACCAUAUUGUUUUUGUUGACCCACUUUUCCAUUUACAGAACUAGUUUACUGUUUUUCUUUAAAAUAAAUAUUCAAAAACAUUUAAAUUACUGAUGCCUCAAUUAAUGUAAUUUUAUUGGUCUCUAUUUUUAUUUUUGAAAUUUUCUAGUAGCUACUGCAUUUUCCACUCUAGGCUUAUACUCGAGUCAAUAAGUUUUCCCAGUUUUUUGUGGUAAAAUUGGGUGCGUCGGCUUAUAUUCAGGUCAGCUUAUACUCGAGUAUAUACGGUAGUUAUCAUUGGCUUAUUACCCACCAGCCUCCCUUUCUUAUUCUCUUUUUUAGGGUUAUUUCUCCCUAUCUCCCUUUCUCAGGCUUCACACCUGAAAACCAUCUCAGUUUUCACAUCAGGGAGGAUUUUAUUUUAAAGCAUUGAAAUGUAAAGUCCAUCCUCUUAGGAAUAGACUGUCCAUCUUGAUUCUUAUCUUUUAUCUCACUUUGAGUUCUACAUAGGGAUGAGUGAGCCUGUCAAUUUUGGUUUCUCAUUCUGCCCUCCCUACAAUCUUACAUUCAGUUCCCCAUAUCAGUUUGCAAUCUGUUUCAUUUUUUUAUAAAGUCCUCAUGAAAACACAUCAGCAUUUUUGUGUGAAUUUCUCCUGAUACACACAAUUUUGUACAAUAUGGAACUUUAUUGCGAAUCAGUGUUCCCUAAUAUAAUGCAUUCACGUUGUUUUCACUAAUACAUGCAUUUUUGUGUGCGAAAUUUUGAAUAUUUUACAUGACUGGAGAACUGCAUUGCAAAAUUCAGAGAAGUGUGGAUUUCAAUGGCUGGAUAGGUAUCAUUUCACACAUUGUUUCAGAAAGUGUGAAUUAGAUAAUUUUUGUCUUUAAAUAAGAACUGAAUUGAUUCCACCACCCAUCCCUAGUUCUAUACCUUCUUUUCCAUUUCUGGGAAGUUGCAGUCACCAAGAAAAUAUGCAAUUUCAUGGGAUUCCACUACCUGAGGCUUUUGACAAAGAGUUGCAUGAUGCCCCCCCCCCCAAUUGUCCCUAUCAAACUUCCCAACUCAAAGAUAGGGCACUUAUUUUCAAGCACAGUUUCUCUCUCUCAUGUUAAACUGGCAUGAAACAUUUUCCACAGGUAAAUUGCUUUCAAAUAAAAUUUUCCCUGUGCAACAAUUGAGAAGGUACCAGCCCAAGAGAUGGAUGUGUCACCUCAGCUAAGGAAGAGUGAAAUUAACCCUGAGGGAAAUAUCAGGUGAUGGGAAAUAAUUCAUUGAGAAUUAAAUCAGUAGACAAAUCUUGUCCUCAGAUAAGCUUCAGCUUAACAUUUGGGAGACCAAUAUGUGAAUAUUUUGCAUAUGUCAAAAGCUCACAGAACAGAAAGACUGAAGACGGAAGGGGUGAGUUAGGAGCAGGGGGAACUGUACAAGUUUAAUUACCUUGGCUUUCUCCUGACAGAUACAAAUGAAGCGUAAGUGGAAACAGAGAAUGCAAUUCAGAGUGGAGAAAGGGCAUUGCACAGAUACACACAGUUUUUAAGGCAGUUUCCAAGAGUGCAAAACAUAAGAUUUAUGAAAGUGUGUUUUGCCCAUUUGUCACAACUAAAUGUGACGCAAUGGGUACAGCUUUGGAACAGAGAGAGUAAACAAG